GGACCUUUAGCUCAGUUGGUUAGAGCAAGCGGCUCAUAACCGCUCGGUCGCUGGUUCAAGUCCAGCAAGGUCCA
rnacentral:tRNA from 1 species